UGGGGAAUAUUGGGCAAUGGGCGAAAGCCUGACCCAGCGACGCCGCGUGGACGAUGAAGGCCUUCGGGUUGUAAAGUCCUGUCAUGCGGAAAGAAUAGCCUUAUGGUUAAUACCCAUGAGGUUUGACGGUACCGCAGGAGGAAGCACCGGCUAACUCCGUGCCAGCAGCCGCGGUAAUACGGCGGGUGCAAGCGUUGUUCGGAAUUAUUGGGCGUAAAGGACGCGUAGGCGGUAAUGAAAGUCAGAUGUGAAAUACUCCGGCUCAACUGGAGAACUGCAUCUGAAACUUCAUCACUCGAGUACAGAAGAGGGAAACGGAAUUCCCGGUGUAGAGGUGAAAUUCGUAGAUAUCGGGAGGAACACCAGUGGCGAAGGCGGUUUCCUGGUCUGAUACUGACGCUGAGGCGUGAAAGUGUGGGGAGCAAACA
rnacentral:rRNA from 1 species